rnacentral:rRNA from 1 species
UACGGAGGGUGCAAGCGUUAUCCGGAUUUACUGGGUUUAAAGGGUGCGUAGGUGGGUUGGUAAGUCAGUGGUGAAAUACUUUCGCUUAACGAAGGAACUGCCAUUGAUACUACCAGUCUUGAAUACAGUGGAGGUAGGCGGAAUGCGUCAUGUAGCGGUGAAAUGCUUAGAUAUGACAUAGAACACCAAUUGCGGAGGCAGCUGGCUACACAAAUAUUGACACUGAGGCACGAAAGCGUGGGGAUCAAACAGG